ACAAACGUGACUAAGCGACAAUGCGUGA
rnacentral:sRNA from 1 species